ACGUCCGCGUUAUAUUACAUCCCCUUCAAACAGUUUCGUUGCAGACGGCUCGCGUCAGCCUCCCCCGCGCCGCCCUGGGGUGAGCCUGCUUGCCGUAGCCGUUUACUUCUGAGGAGCUUCUUCAUCGUGAGGUAUGCUUAUUUGGUUUCCAUGGGAUGAAGAAGAUGAAGAAUUCUACAGGAUACGGAGAAAAGAAAUGCAAAGAAAAGAACGAAUGAGCACAAGCCAGAUGGGCUUUUUUAAAAGUCAGCUGCAGAGAGCUGUAGGCUGUAGGUGGCCUCCAUGUAACUGGUAUUCGGGGAAGAGGAUGGCUUUUCCAGGGCUACAGAGGUAGUGUGUUUGUUCAGCUAGCCUCAUUCUCAGCUGUAUCAAAGAGCUCUCUAGCACCAAGUAACAAACAUCCCACACCGAUCAGGAGAUGUAUGUGCUUCCUCAUCUGAAUGCAAACAUCUGUUUGAAAACUGGAGAAAUUCCAAGUUUUCUGCCAAUAUGCUCUAAAAGAAAAUUUCUUCCUCAGCGCAAAGUAGUGAUCAGUUGAGUUGUAUUAACAUGAGGAAGAAGCCAGCUGCAAUAUGCGGUUCCUCUUUUUGCUUUGGA